UGAAACGACACUUAGGUAGGACAAAAGGCU
rnacentral:piRNA from 1 species